GGCCUUAACACAUGCAAGUCGAACGAAGCCUUCGGGCUUAGUGGCGGCACGGGUGAGUGAACACGUGGGAAUAUACCUCUCAGUGGGGGAUAACGGCGGGAAACUGACGCUAAUACCGCAUACGCCCUUCGGGGGAAAGAUUUAUCGCGUGAGAGAUUAGCCGGCGUCCGAUUAGCUAGUUGGUAAGGGUAAUGGCUUACCAAGGCUACGAUCGGUAGCUGGUCUGAGAGGAUGAUCAGCGCACACUGGGACUGAGACACGGCCCAGACUCCUACGGGAGGCAGCAGUGGGGAAUAUUGGACAAUGGGGGCAACCCUGAUCCAGCCAUGC
rnacentral:rRNA from 1 species